CAUUAUCCUAAUUUCUCUCCAGAGGGAAAAUCCUUUAAUGGAGGGAUACCACAGAUUAUGAGCCUUUCCAAACACCUUAGGAAGACCACUGAUGACACUGCAAAAGUUGUCCCUUGAUGGAGGUCAGAAGGUCUUGUUGUCAUUGACUGGGAAAUCUGGAAGCCACAAUGGGACAGAAACUGGGGCAAUAAAAUAAUGUAAAAACACUACUCCUUAGCCUUUACCAGAAACCACCAUCCUGAUUGGUCAGAAAUGACAGUGAAAACAGUUGCCCAAGAGGAAUUUGAAACUGCUGGAAGGAGUAUUAUGAAUGCUACUCUCACACUGGCUUUAGAAAUGAGACUAAAAUGUGGAUUAUAGGAUAAAUCCACAGACCUACACAGGAGGACUUAGUACAUACAAUUGGUGAGAGUGCAGCAUUGGGGACGGCAGGAAUAAUAUUGUGGGAAGGAUAUGAAUAUUCUGAUUCAAAGGUUGGAGACAAACGGUUGCAGAUUACCUACUCACUUGACUUUAAUAAAGCGCAAAGAGGACAGGCACUCACAUUGAGCACUUUGUACCAGCCACUGUGGCUGGUAGUAACGUGGAAAGGGCACAAGUUUUCCAAUCAGACAACCCUAAGUGAAAAUUCAAAUUUUAAAUUCUAGGGGUGUAAUCUUGGACAAGUUAAUUAACCUCUCUGAGACUUCAUUUCUCCAUCUAAAAAAAAGGACUGAAA